GACCACUCAGCCAUGUGGUUCCUUCAGCUCUCAGCACAGCCGAGUCCAGGCUGCAGGCUCUCCAUCACAAGCCAACUACAGAGUGACACAUGUUCUCUACACAUGCCGUGACUGAAUAUGUUGUGUUCUGAAAAUAUUUGGGAGUUAAUUUGUGUUUUGUGCCUAGUGCUUCAUGGACCGGUGCUCAUUGCAUCCUUACAGCCAUCUACAAGGGUGUCACCAUUAUUUGUAUUUUAUUAGACUUAGAGAGGUGAAGUGACUUGCUCAAAAUAAUACGGUUAGCAAAUGACUGAACCCCGACCCAACAGGGAGAAUGUGGGAAGAAAUCAACAAAGCUUAUUUAACAGGUAUCUGCCAAGGGUUGGAAAAAAUAAGAUUUAUUGUUGCUCCACUGAGCAGAACACAGCCCAUCAGAGGUUACUGCACCUUCAACGACAUGUGCUUUUGACUGACCCAUCAAAACACUGGUGGCAAGAGCACUAAAUAAGUUGCCUAUCAUACUUAAUCUUUCCAGGAUUCAAAGAGGAGUGUAGAGUGAAAUGACCUAUAAGACCCCUGAGCCUAAAAUAUAAUCUAAUGGACUCAGCUUUAAAGCGCUCAUUGAGAGGAUGGCCAAAAACCAGCCGCCACAGUGCGAAGCACGAUUCCUCCACCAUCCGCAGUCCACUCGCACAAAUACCCUCAGUGAAACACUUCUUUCUCUCCACCCACUUUUGAGUAGGAUGAAAUGGCACAUUCCAUUUUCAAAGUGGGCAGCUUGCACGUAUCAGCAGUGCCAGGAAUUUGGAAAACGAUAACGUGGAACCCACAGUAACUUGCUGGCUGAAUUUACUCACCCAGGUGACCCAGGUCGAUGAGGGCUUCAGAGCCACGGGGAUUUUAAAUGCCGCUUCAAAGCCAACAAGGAGCAGAACCAGUGCUGAUUCGUGUUUAUGAUAAUGACAUUUGAAAGGCUAAAAAUUACAAAGUUGUUUACAGAGAUGGACUUAGAAAAUAAUUGUAUCUAAUGUCUCAUAAACAUAAAAGAAAGUUAUUUUGUAGUAGAUGAUUGAAAAGAAAAAAUCUCCUUUAAAAAGGAAAUAAAUAUACUAGUUUCAGACAGAAACAACUUCAAAGGCAAUCAGAAAAUUCAGUGGAAUUUUAAAGAGGGAAUCUCACUCAAAGAAUUCUCUAAAAUUGCCUAAACUUAAAAGCAUUAUUUUUCUCGAGACAUUUAAUUUAGAUUGCAUACCAAACCCUGUAAUAAACCUCCUGCAAAGAAAUAAUAAUAGACCAUAGGCAUUAUAUAUGUUCACUGUUCACUGCGUGUAAAUACAAUGAUUGACCUUCCAUCAACAGACAAGAGGCAUAACUCCAUGGCAACAGAGAAAUAGAGGUCACAAUCAUAUUUUCCAAGGCAAUUUUUGGCCCUCGGGGGAUUCACUGUUAUACUUGGAGGCCAUGUCACCUGAGAGUCAAUGGGCAACGAUCAAAUUUCACCUUGAGCAGAUUCUUUUGUUUGCUUUUUAGUCACAAAUAGCUUGGCCCUAAGUGGUGGCUCCCAUUCUUGUAAGAUGCGUUUAUUCAUCGUGUAAUCACCAGUUCCCUGUAGUGGGGGCGUGGAUGGAGUGUCAGAGGCUCCUGCUGGUCUUUAGGGUGUCUGGCCUCCAGGAAUCCUAGAGGUAGUAUUUGGAGAGAUUUUUAAAAGCUUUGUUUCUGUGACCAGCAAAACCUGGAUUUGACACUGAGGUCAGCCCGUUUCAGCCAGUGACGUAACCUGUCUUUUUGCCCCAGUAAAUUGGGAACUACAGCACUCGAUGUUAGAGUUGUCGUGAAGAUUAAAGAAGGUGACGACUGGACAACUCCCAGCCCAAUACCUGAAACUGUACCAGCACCCAGUGAGCACUGCUAUUCCUGUGACUGCUGCACAUUUGCCUUAUCUCAGCAGUAUGCCUGUGUCACUUUUUUGGCACUCUUUUCUCAUGGGUACAUUCAGAGAAGAGGAAUGUUUGUUCACUGGUGAAGAGAACAUCCCGUGUACUAUCGUGUAGAAGUUGUAGUAGACGCUGUGGUCUUUCCAACAACAAACAAACCUCGUGCCAGCAACUUAAAUCUAUCAGCAAUGGAGAAUGCCUGGCAUUGGCUUCUGCAUGAGUGCCGUUUUAGUUGCUUUGUAUUCUUCUACCUUGAUUUUUUUUUCUGUUUUUCUACAUGAGUGUUGCCUGCAGAGUUCCCUGAUUGACUCAAAGUACAUCUUCUAUAUUGCUUCAAGUAGUGCUGGUCAUGAACACAAUUCAGUCUUAGUCAGCUAUUGGAACUGAUUGACUGCAAAGUUCUGGUGCCUCUUCUCGCAGCCCAGGGCAGAUGGACGUGCUAUGUGGGGCCCGUACAAAACAGAAUCAUGGAGCUGGUGGGGCAAGGAGUCAACCUCCCUCCUAGGGCCUGCAGCCUCCACCAGGGCAGAGAGCAAGUUUCUCUCAGCUUCUGCUCUCAGGUGGUGACCUGGCAGGGAGGACAGCUUGGCAGUAGGUGCAGGCACUGGACGGGGACCUCCUGGCUCCUCUCCUAGCUCUUGCAGCACCAGCCAUAAGGCACUCAGAUCAUGCAACUUCCCGGUGUCUCCGUCUCUGCAUCUUUAAAAUGGGGCUAAUAAGAACACUUUUCUCAUAGACUUAUAAAGAGAAUUAAUUAAAAAAAAUAAUGCUUGGCUCAGAAUGUACACUCCAUGAACAUCACCUGUUACCACUUAAGAAGGGUGCGUACCCUCCAGCCGCAUCCAUGCCAGUUCCCGUUGUCUCACCCUGGGCCAGCGACACCCAUCUUAAGUCACAAUUGAGAAUACAAGCAAGACACGCUGAAAUCUACCAGAAUAAAGGUCCAUCUUCACAGAACAAGCCUGUUUACACUUGAACCCACAGUUUUUCAGUCAUAUCCAGACUUCAAGGAGGGAAGAGGGCUCCACCGCAGGCUUCCUGUAGCAAGCAUGGGGGCCAUAUCUGAGUCCCCUGUGGCGUUCUGUCACCAUAGACUGUGACUUUCAAACAGCACAGUCACUUCUCACAGUGUUAAAGGUCAGAAGUCCCAGAUCAAGGUUCUGGCAGAUCUGGUAUCUGCUGCUGGGACAGGACCCAGGAGGUUCCGGAGGAUCAGGAGGUCCACCUGGGAGAAGAGCUGAUCGGCUAGUAGGAGAGCUGGAAAAGCAACAGACACCUACUUAGUCCCUUCCCUGGGGCCCGGCUCCAGUCUGAGCUGUCACGCCACAGCAAAGGCAUCACUUCAGGACAGCAAAGCCCCUGUCUCCCUCCCUUCCAGCUCCUCAGACUUCACCCUGGUAACACGUUUGUUUAAAAAACAUAUUUUUCCCCCUUGUAAAGAAUCUAGGAUACAAGGGGUCAGCCCAGCAGUUUAGGUAUCAAGAAGAAACUGCUCUCGGAGCUAAAGUAAGAAACAGUGCCUGUCUAUAGCGCAAAUAAAGAGUUGGAACAAGAUAAAAGGCAGUGAUCCUUCACCAGCCAAUCUCCAGGUGGAUCUCAGGAAUCCUGUGUGAUGUGUGACAUCAUCUGGGAAAGCCCCGCAGUUGCCAUGGAGACGCACCUCCCAGGCCUCGGGAAGCUGCCCCACCUCUCUGCCACCUUCUUCCAGACUGGUCAUGGCAGGCUGGCUCUGAUCUGGGUCCCAGACAGAGGGGAAUUGGUUUGCCUUUUUUCUUUUCUUUUCUUCUUUUUUUUCUUUUCUUUUCUUUGUAAACUGCAAUGACCGUGUGUGUGUGUGUGUUUGUGUGUGUGUGUCUGUGUAUGCAUAUAUAUAAAGAAAGAGAGAGAAAAAAAAACAGAGUGCCCCACGACGCAAGGUGCCCACCUUGACAAAUACACUGUGGGCAGACAAUAAACCCUUAUGAGGUUCUGGAGUGGCAGCAGCAAUGGCCUCCUGCCCUCCUGGCGGGCUGGAGCCUCCUCCUGGCAGGUGGGGUAGGGUUGAAACAUCAGAAAUGCCGAGAAAUGUCUCGGUGCAGCCUGAUUACAGAGACACUUGUGAUCCAUGAUUUCUGCUGCUCCACUGCUGAAAAAAAGAAAAAGGCCUGGAGUGCCUCAUCCGCUGUGGUUUCUCUCCCAUUUAAGUAAAAUUGGAAACUUUUUUAAAAAGAAAGCACAAUCAUGUAAUUAGUGCAGGCUCUCUUUUCUGGUUUUUUGAAAAGAGGCAUUUUCACACACACCUUAGUCCAUCUUAAACCCUUUCAACGUUCUGCAUGCUCUUCCUAAUUCCAGAGAGACAGAAUUUUUAUUUCCUUCGAUCGCAGGGAUACCUACAAUGGAAUUUACGUCUCAAUUAACAGUUUGACCAAGGGUUUACAAGUGGUUGAAUGGAGUACAAAUGAAGAAUUCGAAGAAACGCAAAGAGAGAAAGUGGACCGCCCAUAGACACCUGCUCUAUGCAAACAAUGGACUCCUUCCCUUUAUCUUAAGGGGUCUUACGCUACCUGUUUCUACGUCCUUUGCUGGUUCCCAUGACAGAAAUACACACGUUUCAGACAAGAUUAAAAUACAAAAUCCCAACCAUAGCCUCAUCUUUGCACACACACUCUCUCAUUUCCUGUUGGUACCAGCACUUUUCUAUUUCGGUCCUGGGUAUGGCUCACUAACCUACAGCAG
rnacentral:lncRNA from 1 species